rnacentral:lncRNA from 1 species
GGGGACUGCACAUGUGUUCAGGAGCUUGAGAGUGAGAAUUGUGAGCAUGUACACUCCUUAGUGUUUAUGCAUCAGGGUGUGAUGCAUAAACACGAAGGCUCUGUAGCCUUUGAAGAACAGGAUCAGAUCUGGGUUUGAAUCACAAGACCAUGGGUUUUCAGUUGGGCAAUAAACUUAUCUGUCUUUUGCUUUGAUUUUCUCAUCUAGAAAACGGGCACUUGGUCACCAGCCUGACCCAUAGGCAAUGCUUGGUGGAAAAUGACCUUAUCAAAUUAAAGGGUUGUGACCGUGGGUGCUUAUGGUUCAGGGAGGUAGGCCUGGACAGUGAGACAUCUUUCUUGGAUUCCUGUACAUGCUAGAGGUUUGCCCUCCUUUGAGCUGGGCUAGCUCCUGGGACAUCCAGGGACCUGGGGAAGACUGGCUGGGCCCUUUUGCAGCCUAUGGCUCACAUGCCCACUUGUUAAGGCCUGCAAGAGUGUGCCCACAAACAGGGUGAGCAGGCAGAAUAAUGGCCAUGGCUAGCCAGACUGUGUGUCCUUGCCCAGUGUCUGUCUGUCCUUCCCCUUACCUUGGGGGACAAAAGGGAAUCCAGUUGUCCUGCCUGGUGAAUAAAAGCCUGGGGUUGGGGGAGGAUUUGCCUCCAGCCACGGAGGAGGGGUAUGCUGUGGAAGGAGGCCAGAUCUCCCCCAGCUGUUUCCCAGCUCUGUUUGAAGGGGAAGGGAGAGGGAUAAAUGACUGGGUGAUUGUGGCACCUACAGCCAGCAUCUUUCCUCUCCACAUUCUAGGUCACAGGCCCACACCUCUCUCCCUAGUCAAAGAGAGCCUCUGUGAGGGGGUUGAAGGGUGUCUUGGAUCUGUGGGCAGGACUUGGGAUCUGGGCACAGAGAGGUUGGGGAAUUAACAAAGGUCACACAGCCAGGCAAAACUAGGGAAUGUGGGGAGUCAUUCUAGACAGGACCUUUAGGGGGAGCUCCCUGGC